rnacentral:rRNA from 1 species
AGAGAUUGAACAUAAGAGUUUGAUCCUGGCUCAGAUUGAACGCUGGCGGCAUGCUUUACACAUGCAAGUCGGACGGCAGCACAGGGAAGCUUGCUUCUCGGGUGGCGAGUGGCGAACGGGUGAGUAACAUAUCGGAACGUACCGGGUAGCGGGGGAUAACUGAUCGAAAGAUCAGCUAAUACCGCAUACGUCUUGAGAGGGAAAGCAGGGGACCUUCGGGCCUUGCGCUAUCCGAGCGGCCGAUAUCUGAUUAGCUGGUUGGCGGGGUAAAGGCCCACCAAGGCGACGAUCAGUAGCGGGUCUGAGAGGAUGAUCCGCCACACUGGGACUGAGACACGGCCCAGACUCCUACGGGAGGCAGCAGUGGGGAAUUUUGGACAAUGGGCGCAAGCCUGAUCCAGCCAUGCCGCGUGUCUGAAGAAGGCCUUCGGGUUGUAAAGGACUUUUGUCAGGGAAGAAAAGGCCGUUGCCAAUAUCGGCGGCCGAUGACGGUACCUGAAGAAUAAGCACCGGCUAACUACGUGCCAGCAGCCGCGGUAAUACGUAGGGUGCGAGCGUUAAUCGGAAUUACUGGGCGUAAAGCGGGCGCAGACGGUUACUUAAGCAGGAUGUGAAAUCCCCGGGCUCAACCCGGGAACUGCGUUCUGAACUGGGUGACUCGAGUGUGUCAGAGGGAGGUGGAAUUCCACGUGUAGCAGUGAAAUGCGUAGAGAUGUGGAGGAAUACCGAUGGCGAAGGCAGCCUCCUGGGAUAACACUGACGUUCAUGUCCGAAAGCGUGGGUAGCAAACAGGAUUAGAUACCCUGGUAGUCCACGCCCUAAACGAUGUCAAUUAGCUGUUGGGCAACUUGAUUGCUUGGUAGCGUAGCUAACGCGUGAAAUUGACCGCCUGGGGAGUACGGUCGCAAGAUUAAAACUCAAAGGAAUUGACGGGGGCCCGCACAAGCGGUGGAUGAUGUGGAUUAAUUCGAUGCAACGCGAAGAACCUUACCUGGUUUUGACAUGUGCGGAAUCCUCCGGAGACGGAGGAGUGCCUUCGGGAGCCGUAACACAGGUGCUGCAUGGCUGUCGUCAGCUCGUGUCGUGAGAUGUUGGGUUAAGUCCCGCAACGAGCGCAACCCUUGUCAUUAGUUGCCAUCAUUCGGUUGGGCACUCUAAUGAGACUGCCGGUGACAAGCCGGAGGAAGGUGGGGAUGACGUCAAGUCCUCAUGGCCCUUAUGACCAGGGCUUCACACGUCAUACAAUGGUCGGUACAGAGGGUAGCCAAGCCGCGAGGCGGAGCCAAUCUCACAAAACCGAUCGUAGUCCGGAUUGCACUCUGCAACUCGAGUGCAUGAAGUCGGAAUCGCUAGUAAUCGCAGGUCAGCAUACUGCGGUGAAUACGUUCCCGGGUCUUGUACACACCGCCCGUCACACCAUGGGAGUGGGGGAUACCAGAAGUAGGUAGGGUAACCGCAAGGAGUCCGCUUACCACGGUAUGCUUCAUGACUGGGGUGAAGUCGUAACAAGGUAGCCGUAGGGGAACCUGCGGCUGGAUCACCUCCUUUCUA